rnacentral:rRNA from 1 species
CCUACGGGGGGCAGCAGUGAGGAAUAUUGGUCAAUGGACGAGAGUCUGAACCAGCCAAGUAGCGUGAAGGAUGACUGCCCUAUGGGUUGUAAACUUCUUUUAUAUGGGAAUAAAAUGUUCCACGUGUGGGAUUUUGUAUGUACCAUAUGAAUAAGGAUCGGCUAACUCCGUGCCAGCAGCCGCGGUAAUACGGAGGAUCCGAGCGUUAUCCGGAUUUAUUGGGUUUAAAGGGAGCGUAGGUGGAUUGUUAAGUCAGUUGUGAAAGUUUGCGGCUCAACCGUAAAAUGGCAGUUGAAACUGGCAGUCUUGAGGACAGUAGAGGUGGGCGGAAUUCGUGGUGUAGCGGUGAAAUGCUUAGAUAUCACGAAGAACUCCGAUUGCGAAGGCAGUUCACUGGACUGCAACUGACACUGAGGCUCGAAAGUGUGGGUAUCAAACAGGAUUAGAUACCCCAGUAGUC